rnacentral:rRNA from 1 species
UGUAGAGAAUCUGCCUUUGAGCGGGGGACAACAGUUGGAAACGAUUGCUAAUACCCCAUAUGAGCGUACCUGAAAUGGUAUUCUUGAAAACUCCGGUGCUCAAAGAUGAGUCUGCAUCUGAUUAGCUAGUUGGCGGUGUAAUGGACCACCAAGGCGACGAUCAGUAGCUGGUUUGAGAGGAUGAUCAGCCACAAUGGGACUGAGACACGGCCCAUACUCCUACGGAAGGCAGCAG